rnacentral:misc_RNA from 1 species
UUAAGUUCAGCGGGUAUUCCUACCUGAUCCGAGGUCAAACUCUAAAAGUUGGGGUUUUACGGCGUGGCCGCGCCGCGCUCCAAUGCGAGUGUGCUACUACGCAAGAGAGGCUGCAGCGAGACCGCCACUGAUUUUGGGGGGCGGCGCGCCGUGAGGCAGGCCGGUCCCCAACACGCUCCCAGAUGGGCGCGAGGGUUGAA